rnacentral:lncRNA from 1 species
AAGCUCCAGUAGCUUACUAGCACCACAUCCAACAUUUCAACUAGAAAUAUAAGUUUUAGGAAACUAUCCCUAUCAUUUCAGUGGAAAAAAAAAAAAAAAACCAAAAAAAACCCAACUGCUUUCUGUGUAAGACAGUAAUUCCUGCAGUCUUUAAAGACAAUUUUUACAAGUGCUGAACUUGCAGCCCUGAGAGUGAGUGCAAAGAUAUAGUGCACUUCUGUGCACUUACAAUAGAAAACAGUUCAAAUGCAGAGUCAUUCUGCAUGCUCAUGAUGGUCAGUUUGAAUUGUGUGAAUAUUCGAGAGCUCAGCAGAACAGAGUGGCAAGACAAGCAGGGACUUGUGUGUACUGUGUGACUGACUCAUCUUUGCUGCAGCUGAUAAUAAAAAAUUACAUGCCCAGAUCGACUUUCUUCUGCUAAUAAUAAAGGAAACCCCAUGCAAGUGCAUUGACUUCCAGAACCCAGAUCCUACUGCUUGCAUAGCCUUUUCCCCAAAAGCCUUCAAGCUUUUAAAACAAGCUUUCCAACUUUCCUGGGGCAGUUUUUAUGCAGAAAGAGCCUGGAGAUUUGUCUGGGAUGUAAAGCUCUAGUGCAAAAUUUGGCCAGCUCACACUGGCCAAAUCAUGUCCUACCACCUAGUAGAAAACAUGAUAUAAGAUGACCUUGAAGCAAGGAGGUGGAAGAGAUAGAAACUAAUUUGUAUAUUAUUUUUUUUUAAUCUUAGUGGAUUUUAAACUUCUACUUUGUAUUUUUAAGUGGUUUUCUAAGUAUGUUUUCCUUAUUUACAACAGAGAUGAAGAAGACAGCUGUUCCAGAUUUUAAAAUGAAAGCUGUACUCAGUCUUUUCCUUGCUUGAGGGAGGUGGGGAUUCCUUCCAGCAGGACAGAAGUUUUAUAAUGAGAUCAUAGAAGAUAACCCCAACAUUGUCAGGAGUACUGCCUGUAUUUCUUCCCUCAGUUUUGCAUUUCCUUACCAAUACAUUUAAAGCUAAUAUAUUUUGAUUCUAAUCCUAAUUGUUUGAUUCAUUUAAAAGUGGUCAUUCCAGCUAGAAACAACAACAAAAAAAAUUUAAAUAGGCACAUAUCCUUCAUAUGAAGAAUUCUUUUUCUAGGCAGUCAAGAUGAGGUUGGAAUCUGUAAUGCCAAACACCAGGUUCAAUUCCUUUAAAAAUAUUCUUUGCAGUAGAAUUUGGUUUUAUAAAGCUUAAAUAACACGAGUUAGCUAGCAUCAUACAAAUCGAAUCCACCUGGAGCAUGCAAACCAAAGCUGAAGUACAAAACAAAGUACAGGCUGCUUAAAAUAUCAAGCAAAACCGAUGUCACACACUAAUUCCAAAGAGGGGAGAGGAGGGGGAAAGUCAAAUUUAAUUGUGAAAUUAGAAACACUAUCUUAUUUAAAGCCUUUUAGAGACCAUCAUACAUUAGAAUGUUUACAGAAACCUUCCUCACUCAGGUUCAUUGAAGGGCUCAGGAUGUCCCCUGAAAUGUUAAGAGAAGCAGAGCAGAAUAUUCCUGGUACAUUUUCAUAGUUUAAAGACCUGCUAGUUGAAAACUGGCAGUGGAGUAUAAGUGACUUUUAAAAAGUCAAAUUCUGUCACAUUGGAAAAGUAAUUCAAGAAAGAGCUCAAGAAGCAGGGGUACUUGGCUCACUCAGAUCUAAUCCAGGGGAGAAGACAGCAGUAGCAGCAAGAAACUGUGAUUCCCUUUAAGAGCAACUUCACAUAUAUUGGUUCCAUCAGCCUUAGGAAAAAUGGAAAGGGAAACUGUUACAAAUUCUGAGGUGGUGGUGACAGCUAAGGUUCCCUUCCAUGCUGUCCUAGGUUGUAAAAUGUGUGUAUUCUAUUUGCCAUCUGUUAGAGGUGGGGCAGUUACCUUCUGUUAAUUGAGCAGUUUUCUUUAUCUCUUCCAUAACCAAUCUUCCCUCAGGGAAAUAUCUUCUGUUAAUGGGCCACUGAGUGUCAUUGCAUGACUGAUAAAAAUUACAUCAUCCCAUUUGGGAGAUGCUCUACCCAGGGGGAGGAGCCAAGCAUUCCUACCUGGAUAUAAUUGGAGAUGUGGAAAACCACAGGCAGCCUUUUCCCACUGGAUUCCCAGAGAAAGACCAGGCCCAUCUACACCACCACUGGACCUCCAGAGGAAAACUCCACCUUUCUACAGGAUCACUGCUUCAACAGAACCACACCUGUCACUGCAGGAGCACUGCAGCCACCAUUUCAACUGGACUGCUACCAACACCCUGACCCACAGGGUGUCAGGUUGUAAUCUGACUCUGUCAGUGGUUUUCUCAUACUGUUGCAUUUGUAUUUUAAAUUUCCUAGCAAGGAACUGUUAUUCCUAUUCCCAUAUCUUUGCCUGAGAGCCCCCUUAAUUUCAAAAUGAUAAUAAUUUGGAGGGAGGGGGUUUACCUUUUCUAUUUCAAGGAAGGCUCCUGCCUUCCUUAGCAGACACCUGUCCUUUCAAACCAAGACACAUUCUUUCGCCAGAAGCCACCUGUAACCCCAAGCAUGGCUGGCUUGGGUUCCACACCUUCACCCUCUGUUCAUAGGAGCUCAAACAACAUCAGGAACAGGGGAACCACAUAGGAACAGGGGGAAAUAAUAAUCACUGAGCCAGUUUGGGACAAAACAGGCAAAGCUGUGCAGCUGUUCCUGUAACAUGACCAAGUACUUCAGGUGCCAUUGUUUAGAAAGAUCCAGGGAGUUCAGCAUGGAGGGCUUGCAGAUGUACACCAAGAACAUCCCAUCACCAGAAUGUCACUCAGGACCAUCUGAAAUGUUCUCUCUCUCCUCUCUGGCAUUUUAUUCCGUGAACAUUUAGGAUUCCAACCAGCUACAGCAAGUUACUCAACCUACUGCUUGGAAAGGAAAAACACUUUACACCUAAACAUUGGACUUAAAAAGGGAAAAAAGGUAUCAGGUGGUUGACCUAAUUCCUCUCUACAGUACUGUGAAAUCAGCAUUUGAGCUCCACACAGGAAAAAAUAAACUUUUCAGUUCUAAACAGAGUCAAGGAAAGAACAAUUACUUAGAAAAUCACUGAUUAUUUUUCAGUCUGAUUGUUCCUAUCCUUGAAUGCACAGGAUAGGAACUAGUGGCUGGCAACUGAUGAAUUCUUUGUGGAACCACCCUGGCCUGAUCGUGCUGUUACUCGGACACAACCUGAAGGAGGCCUCAACCUCAGCAUUCCCUCACUCAAGCCCAUGGGCAUCAGGAGUUUGGCAUUCCAGCUAUUCUUUAGGAUGAACACAAAUCAAAGGCUCAGAGCCCAAGAUCUUUGGGAAAAUGAUGAACAAAGGAAAGCUGGGAUUUCUAAUAAACCUGCCGCUACACAAAUAUGACAUAUUUUCCUUCCUGCAAUCCAGAUAAAAAUCCAUGAGGUCCAGUUGAGAGCCUAAACCAUGGCAUUAUGAAGACCAUUAUUAAGAAUAAAAAUUUUCAUCACUCCACACAGAAAGAGAAACAUGUUCAAUCAACCAAGUACAUCACAGGUUGUUUGUGCCUGAUGUAGGUCACUAGUUCCCAAGAAAAGCCUCAUUAGUUCAUACUAAUGACCAGAAGAUUCCCUCAAAGAUAAUUUAUUUUACUAUUGAUAAAAAAAAAGAUUCAGAGAUGCCUAUAAUGGUCAUAACAGUGCACGUCACAUUAAUCCAGAAUAGUUUAUAAUACCUCAUAAAAUUUAAAGAAUAUUGUUUUAUAUUCUGUAGCACAGAAUUGUAGCAAUGAGAAGCAACUCACAUUGUUUGUUUGUUGUAAACAUGGAACAAUCUUUAGAUACUGAUUGGAAUGGAUCACAAGGAAAGCUAGCACAAGUUAAUAUAAACUCUCUGUAUGAAAAACACCCUAAUAAUGUGAUGUAUUAAAUCACAGGAGUUCUAAAAAACCUUCUAAUUAAGACAUUUUGUUUAACAUUCCUCACACAAAGUAAUGCUCCAAGUUUUAUCCACUUACAUAGUUUUUAAAGGAGCAAAGUUGUUGUUUGAAAAGGAUGUUUUUCUCUGCUAUGGGAAACAUUGCCCAAAAAUUAACUCCAAAAUCCCCAUCAUUCCCAUUCUGGUUUGAACUGCCACCAAAGGAAAACAGUAAAGGGUGACUGUUGCCAUCUUUUCUCUAAAGUAGAAGACUAACAGCAUUCCUAUGGUUGUUGUACUUCCAGGAAAAUUUCAAACACAGGUAACACUAUGUACAGUACAUUAAAUGCUAACAGAUUUUGUUGUACAAAGUGAGUUGUUGCUUUCCAAUUUAAAUACAUACAGUUAUUUUAAGGGUUUUUAGUCUUGACAAUGAGCUAUUAAUACUAGGAAAAGCUGUACCUCUAUUUUCUCAUUAAUAGUGACAUUCAUUUAGGCAUUUUUAUUCACUGUAUGUCCUUCAAAUAUUUUUGAGAAACUACUUGCCCCCUUGUUCUAGAAUAGACAAAUAGAAAGACAGUUACUUUAGGCAGUUCUCCCCCACUUAUUUGUUUGCACUCAGCUGGGAACUUCCAGGGUUUUCUCAAUUUUACCAAAAUCUUCCUUCCCAGCCCAGUGCAUGCUGUAAAAUUCUUUUUGGCUAAGCUGAUCAAAACUGAAUAGACUCUCCAUCUACCAGCUGGGGUCUUCAGACACUCACAAUUUUUACAGAAUUUUUUUUCUAAAUAUUGGUCACUUUCUUCCAACAGAGGUUUUACAGUUAUGCUAUGAUGACUCAUCUAAAACUUCGAUUUCUGAAGGAAAAACAGGAAGAAGAAGAAGAAGAAGAGAAUAGUGGCCAGUGUAUGGCAGCCAGAGAGAUAUAAGAUAAGUGCAGCAGUCCAAGAGACAGGUAAAAGAAAGUGAUAAAUGUGAAACAGAAAUACCCAACAGAAGAUCCAGAUACAGAUACUUCCCCCAUAGGAUAAUAUUUACACAAUUCAACUUCUUAGGGCCUAAUCUAGCUAGAUCAGUCUAUCAUAAUCAGUAAAGAGAAAAAAGUCCUUAUUCCUCCAUCUCACACAAACAGAUGCCUACAAUGAUGCAUCUGUUCUACUGAGCAAUGUAAUUCUGAAAGCCUCUGAAUAAGUAUGAGCAAUUGCAAAUCACUCUGAGGACUCUUCAGUAAUUUUCUAAGUACUAACAAUGUCAGCACACCCAUAAUUUGGUAACAUAGCAAGCCAAGCCACUGUGCACUGAUUAUAUCAGGUGCUUUUGUCUGCUUGGCAUCACUGUAUGAUGGGGUCAGCAAAAGUCCUGUCCCAAAAGCAGCAGCUCCUGUCCAGAGCAGCCUCCAUUUGUUUCUCUAGGCUGCAGACAACUGCCAUUGCUGUGCAUUUGAAGCUUAGCAUGGAAAACACUGGCAAAUUCACACACUAAUCCUCUCUAAACCCAGUCACUCAGUCAAAUGGCCUUGGAAAUAACAAACAGAGAAGAGACCAUGCCCUUCAAUACUUUAAAGAUUAAAAAAAAAGCCUAUGCUAGAGAAGUCAAGAAGAAGUCUGGAAAAGCACAGUCUGGGGCUAAUUGCUUCUGUUAUUUCAGUAGAUAAUGCCAAAACCUCAAGUCUCAAUACUAGAGUUGGAGAAGAAUUUAUGGUGGCAACCCAAACACCAGAAGUCACAGAUGCAACAACCUUGCCUAAUCCAAACAGCAGUUUGCCAAUCGGUAAAUUUUACAGCAUUUGGUUUGUCUGAAGAAAAACUUAAUUUAUGGUCCCAGACAUAGAGUACACUAGAAGGAGAACAUGACUUUAACCAGCAUUAGGCAGUAACCAAGAGUGACAGCUCAAGCAAUAAAAAGGUAGAGAAAAUUAUAAUUUAGAGGAAGUUAAAACCUUGGGAACAGAGUAACACAGUUUAGUACUUAUUUUGGUAACAGUAUUUUACAGAAUUAUAGAUUGGAAUUCUGGAUUGCAAAUUGCUUAACUUGAGGCAAGGAGAACAUUCCAGGCAGGUACAAUUGCUAACUGCCUGAAAUGGAAAUUACCCUGAUUAAGUAUUAAGCAUCCACCUCCAAGGCUGGGUUGGUUUUUUGUUUGUUUGUUUGUUAUCUGUUUUGCUUUGGGUGGGGGGUUUUUGCACAUCCAUGUACAAUGAUACAUUUACAUUAUCUGUAUACAAGAGCUGGAGACAAGUAUUCCUUCACAGCUCAAACUGCCAAACAUUAGAGAAAGCUUAAUAGAUUAAAAGAAGCAAUGGCAUUUGAAAAAGCAGAGGUUCACUGGUAACAAUAAAAAUACUUACACCUUCAUCUGCAGAAGUAAUACCAAGUUGCCAACAAAACUAGUUAAAUUACUUAAAUACAUACUUUUUUCCAAAGUUCUGAAAGAAAAAUCCUUCUCUACCUCAAUAAAAGUGGAGCUAUGCUAUUUUUUUAUUCUAAAUGGAGAUAACAUGAAUGAUAAAGAUGAUUAAAUGCAAAACUGAAAGUUAUAUCCAGAAGGAUUUUAAUUAGAUUUUUUUUAAACACAAUAGCUGUUGGCUGCAAGUAGACAAUGAACUAAGUGGUACAGAGAAAGCAGAGAAGUUUUGAAACAAACUCCCAUCUUCUUGUAAGCAUGGUGGCAAUAGAAACUAAUUCUUACAUAGCUUAAAGGAAAGGGAUGCUGGUUCAGGCCUGUGUGUCAGAGCAGAUGCUGCUGAUGGCCUUCCUUCCCACAGUCAGGAACUCCUGGGAAGAACUGCUCGGGGGCCCUGCUCUUCUUCUGCAGGCAGGACCAGGACGGGGAGCAGGGAGUGCUAAGGUGACCUGGAGCACAAGCCUGUACAGCUUUCCAGGCCAGGACUUGGGUUACACUGAGUGUAACCUCAUGUGAACCAUGGGGGGGUCCCCAGAGUUCAUCACCCUGGUCACACCUGUCAGCAGCAGUUGUUCACAGCAAUCUGCACUGGGGACCAGUGGCACAGGACAGCUACUCUCAGGAGCAAGGUAUAGCAGCCCAGGAACACCCAAGAGAUCAGGCAAGAACACUCCUUUGCUUCAAUUUGUCAACAAUUUUACAUCCCAAAGGUUUUUUUCUGCUAGCUUUACCACCCAGCCAAGAAUAACCACAGCAACAAGGUUUGGUAGGGAGCACCUGGGAUGACCCUCAGGCUCCCUUACAACUUCCAGCAUAUAACAAAAUAAGAGAAAUAACAGAAGUCUGGUUCUAGUGCUGUUUCCUCAGUAACUAUGCUGCCAGAGAUACUAGAUCUUAAAAGUCAGUAAUUUCCAAAGAGCUGCUCCACUUCAGAAAACACCAGCAGGAACUAACAAUUACAAGCCAUUAUUUCUUCUUAUCAAAUAGUGAUCACUAAGUACAUGAUGUCAAUAUGUCCAGAAUGAAAUCCUCACACUUAAUCACAGAAUCAUCACAGAGCGAUUUGGGUUGGAAGGGACCUUAAAGACCAUCUAGUUUGAACCAUCUGCCAAGGGCAGGGACACAUUCCACUAAAGCAUGUUCUUCAAAGCCCCAUGCAACCUGGCCUUGAACACCUCCAAGAAUGGGGCAUCCACAGCUGCUCUGGGAAACUGUUCCCGUGCCUCACCACCCUCACAAGACUUUAUUCCUAAUAUCUAAUAAAUUUAUGCACCAUGUUUCUCAGGGAAGAUCCUAGCUUCCCUUUCUCAGGGAAGAGCCUCUUCAAUAACAUGGCAGAAAUACCAUACAGAAGAUCCUACCUUAUCCAACAAUUACCAGUUAUUUGUAGAUAAGCAUUGUGAAAGGAAUACACAACCACUUCCAGACACAAGCAAGUGCUUAUGAAAUUAAACAGAAAUUUUGCAAUUGCUCGGUAGAGCAAGAAAUGCUGCAAUACAUUUUUAAACUUAUCUCCUAAUGGCUCUAAUUCACCAAAUUUAACAUAAAACAGACAACUUCCUUUCUAAAUGAAGUGGUCUACAUAUUCCAUAGAAAUUGAAAUUUUUAGGGCUCUAGAUAUUUUAACUACUACCUUAUAAAUAUUUCUAUAUGCAAGCAGUAAUAAUCACACACAAGCUACUUACUUCUACUUUCUAUAAACUGUAUUACAGCAGAUCAGACUCUAAGUAUUGUUUUAAAAUGUUAUUUGUAAUAGAUUGUUUCAGAGACAAGCACAGGAACUAUUCACAUUUGAAUUAAAAUUGCAUUCAUACCUAGACCUUUAAUAAAACUCAGCAGUUAGAAGUGCUGCACUAUUUCUCGAGUUUAUUUGUUAAAAAGGCAAUUAAGAUGCACCCAUUCCUCACUGGAGUCACCAAGGAAAAAAUUGGAAAUCAUUCAGAAAAAUCAUUCAGAAUCUGCUAACGCCUUUGAUGGUACUAUGAUAAACGCCCAUAGAUUAGCAGCCAAAAUACUUUUAAUCUCAGUUUGAUCUGUGUUUUAGAAAUAUCCUCUCAAGACCAGUGGUAACAAGAAAUUUUUUUUAAAUACUUAAAAAUCUGAAAAAUUAAAUUAUAAUCCUGUAUCUUGUGCAUUUUAUGGAUAGUUUUGCAUUUAUACUAUUGCAAUUGUUUUUAAAGCACAAUAAACCAAAAUAUUUCAAACACCAACAGCUCAAAAUACUGAAUGCUUUGCCACUUACCAAUUUCAGUGUUUAACAACAAUUCAAUGUUUUAUUGUGUUGUGAAAAUGUAAUCUAAUAUAUCCUUAGAAUUGAAAACAUGGCAGCAUUUUCUUUGCUAUGCAAGAUCCUGUUUAAGUUACAUUGAUAGAACAAAUUUAAUUAUUCAGUGUGAAUAUCUUUGGAAUGGCUAGUGAACUAGAGUGUUUAGAUUCCUUAACAAACCGUUGAGAACUAGAUCACUAAAAAACUGUUUAACUGAUCACAUUAUAAGCUCAACUUAAUAAAUAGGUUGGGGUAGUAAAAUAAACAUUUGACUCUACUUCUUUUAGACAGUAACUCUGGUGCCAGAGGUGGAAUGCUUUCAGAGACCCUGAUUUAAUAAACUUGAUUACCUCAGGCUCAUGAUAUGUCAAUGUUAAUGCCUGAAUUAGUUUUCACUGCAGGGCAAACCCCAUUAGGAACACUGAUGCUUGUUCUUAAUGUUCUGUAAGAGGCAGAGCUUUAGAACCCACAAGACACACACACUCAAAAACUACAUUCAUAAGUUAACCUUGAACUGCAGCAGCUUCUGAAUUAGCAGCAAGUUCCAAAUUAGCAGCAGCUUCUGAAUUAGCAGCAGCUUCCUGCUGUUCUUCCUCCAUAGCAUGGGAUACUUCUGGAGGCAGUAAGUCAUUCUCCCCUCCAGCUUCUGGAGAUACCCCAGAAGUCUCAUCCUGUACUCUGGGUCCAGCACUCUCAUCCUGUGCUGCAGGUCCAACAGCAGCUGCUGCAUCAGCUUUUUCCGUGGCCUUCUCUGCUUCAGUGACUUCAUGCACCUCUUCUCCAUCACCUUCUAAGAAUUUAUUCAAUACAAUAAAGAGAGUAAAAUGCAUGCAUGCAACAAAAAAUUCACCAACUACUUUUUAUCAUCAUCCUCAUUUAAAUUUGAAGUGGAAAGCUAAGACUUGGGAUCAGAAUUAACAAAAAGAUCAAUAAUUAAUCCCUCAUAUUGUCUGAUUUGGCAUCAAAAAACUAUGUUUAUAAGAUGAGGAAACCAUAUUCUUAAUUACUGAGUUUCAUAACAUGUUUCAGUGUGAUACGAAAAGAAACUGUGGCUUAAAGCAAUUGUUGGGGGAGCAGGGAAGGAUAACAAAGGACAUUGUCAAGUGUUGCUUGAAACCACUCUGCAGAAAGGGCCAGUGAUGGUACACACACAGGUGCCAGAGGGAGCAUGACACUGUGGAAUAACCACGUGGGGAAGAAGACAUUUGGUUUUAUACAAGUGAGAAAAUAACUUCCUAAUUUCAAGUGGUCAGAGCUCUCUUUCUUAGAUAUAUGACCACUUAGAACUGACUAUUUUCUUUUUACAACUCACAACUAUCUUUUAAAGACUUGUUUACACCACUUUGGGUCCAACUCUUUAGAACCUGAAAAACAAUGUUUCCCAGCCAUGCAUGACUUCAAAUUCAGCUGAGACAAGUCAUGAAAAACUAACAGCACAAAGCAAGAUAGAUGCUCAACCACCAUGCAAACAUGCGCUAACAUUAUGUUCACGAAGGAAAAGUUAUACUGUUCAUCAACAGUAUAACUGUUCAUCAGCUGUUCGUCACAAGUUCACCACUAGAACCGACUCACCACGUAAAAAAAAACAGAAAUAAGUUUGUAACACAGUGUAAGCUAUGUGAGAAUUGAAACAAAAGAUCUUAAAGAGACACAGUCAGAGUUUGUUUGAGUCUUUUGUAUCUGUUUAAAAACCAAACAGAUCGAUUUUAUUUCUUGAUCUUCUUAUGCCAGUGAAAGCCUAUAAUUUUGGUUCAGGUUUCAAGACAAGCCCAUUCAUUGCUCAGUAAAAAUCAAAACUUUGCAUUAUGAAACCUGAUCAUGUCCCUUUAAGAAAACACUGUUUUAAAAAAAAUCGUUAACUCAUUACAUAAAGAACAGGUUAACAGCCAAGAUCAGCAUUCAGUACACUUUAUUGGACAGUCAAAUAUAGAGUGCAUUAAUUCAGAACAGCCAGCUUCUCCAUCUCAGAACUGCCUUCUACAAAGCAGAUUCAGUAAUAAGCUCAAUAUGGUUUGGCCUUGCAAACAUAGAUAGUUCUUUUAAAGUCUCACACAAUUGGGGCUUUACAAUAGAAGGCACAAAGUCAUCCCAAGGUAGGCUGCAAUGUACUUAAUGGUAAACGAUUGUCCUUUGUUUGUAUUUAACUUCCUCAGGUUUGGAAAGAGAUUUCCCUUGUGUCUGGAAAGUGUAAAAGCAGAACAUAGAUUAGAAAGUCUGGAAAGUGUAAAAGCAGAGUAUAGAUUAGAAAGAUUGAAUCAGCUUGCAACGAGUUAAAAAGAAAAGUCUUAGCUAUAACAGAAAAAAUUAGGAACAAUCUUAAAGGACAAGAACAACAAAUGGAAAACAAAACUCAGUAUUCACUAAAUAAGCAAGGAGAACAUCCUGCAAGCCAAACAUCAUUUUACAUCUCAAAUGAUGUCCCAGAUUUUCUACUGCUACUUUGAGUCAGGUUUCUUCCAGGGAUAUUUUAAAUCCCUCUCUUAUUUUUAGAGUAGCUUUCAGUUAAAAAGAACCACAGAAAUUUUGCUAUCAGAUCUCUUUCUACAUGUCUGUUAUCAUUAAUUAAAAUAUCAUUAAAUAUAAUUUCAACCCUCCAAUGAUUCUUUCUCUUGUUUUGACAGACUUGUUUGCUAUCUACAGUUAUCUGUAAUAGACAUUUUGUGAUCAGGCAUAAGGGGAGAAUUUUCCCCCGCAUGAGAAAUCACAAAAAUCCUAUCAAAAGAAUCUCUGAUCAGCUGCUCUCCAGCAUUCAGUUCUUCCACCUAGGAAGUUCUUCUACCAUAGGCAGCAAAUAUGCCAUGAACAUGCUGCUUGGCAUAUCCUUUUCUAUCCACCACUUCAUAUGGUUACCAGCUCUGUUUUAGAGCUUUUUUUAAGCUUGAUUUAAUGCCCCUAAAAAAAUAUCAGAAUACUUUGAGAACAGAAUUUUUAAUUGGUCUUAUGAGCAAUGCUUACUGUGAAAACGUAUAAGGACUGACUCUAAAGAAUGCACAGGGAAAGAAACUGCAAUGGCACUUCUGUGAAAAGCAAUACUAUUCUAACACUCUGUAACAAGAUAAACAAAAAAUAUGACUAUGGAAGGAAUGGGAGAAAAAAGGGAAGGAAGAGGUGUUGCCCUGAUUCUUAAGUUUUUCUAAAGCCUUCUGAGUUUACAUUCUGUUAGAAAACUUUCCCACACAAUUUCUGUAAACAACAUAUUGUUUUACAUUCCUUCAUGGGGGUGGAAAAACUUGAUGUACUAGUGGUUUGUCCAAUGUCUUUGGAGAGGUGGCCCAUUCACUCUCCAAUCCACUGUCAGCUUUGGAAAAGUAUAAAAGUUGGAGUCAAAAAAUAAAUGCUCUCUUUUACCUUGCAAAAUAGCAAGUGGCUCGCGUUGUGCUUUCACAUGUCCUAUAGCGACAGAAGAGGGGUGUUAACUCUAUUGAAAAUGCACACAGAGGAUUCUGUAGGAAAAGUAAGAACAGAACUGAUGCUCGUUCUUAAUGUCCUGUUCUUUUGGGUGUAUACAUCUGGGAAUGAAGAAGGAUUUUUAAAAGGAGCUGAUUCAACAGUGGUUUUGUACUGUGAAUUGGAAUUAGCUACUCAGAAGUCCAGCUAAAAACUCUGGGUUGAGCAUUUAUUCAGAAGUCAAAUAUUGAAAAUAAUACAGGAAACAAGUUUCAACUGUAUUCACUGAAUGGCCUGAGAAACAUUUUGGACUUCUUACUAUCAAUAAAAAGGGAGGCAGCAAUCAUCUGCCACUGGUUGUGACAUUUAUGUGACUUAUUAAGCAGCAGAUGAUGGCAUGUCUGAGAUAACCUACGAUCAGUUGCUGAGCACUCAGUACUGCUCAGGUAUUUCACUCCAACAUGGCCAGGGCCAAAACUCAGUACCUUGCAGAAGUGCACCUCAGGAGGAAAGAGAAUACACUGACAUCACUGGGAAUAUGUUGGAAGGUUUGCUUAAUGCUCCCCCGUUCUCCCAACUAUGGCAGUCAGAAUGUAAUGAGGGUAAUCCUUACGUCUGCCCUGAAUAGUAGGAGACCAGGUCUCUAGGAGAGAUCUACUUUGGUCCUCGUUACAUUUUCUAUUUUAGGGACAAAGAAGGAUUGUGGCUGAAUUCUCAGUAUUUAUUUAAACAACUGAGUUUUAAAACUAUACUGUAUUCAGCUGCUUUCUUUUUUGGAAAUUAAGGUAUUUUACUACUUUAAUUCUUAAGAUCUGUAAUUUUAAUGUUCUGAAACUAAAGCAUGUGUUGUAGAAGUUCAAGGAUAACAACUUCUAAAGAAAUAAUUAUACAGUCAGACAAUUUAAACCAUGCUGUUAUACUGAAAACAAAAUUUAAACUUGAGAUACUUUAUUCAAACCUAUUCUUUGUGUAUAUGUAAAUAUAUUAAAUCACUUCCCUAGAAGUCAACCUUAAAAAAAAAAAAAAAAAAAAAAAAAGGAAGAGCUUCAAGUGUUCUGGCUUUAAUGCUAUAUUUAUUUUUUAAAAUAACAACCAAAUAAAAAUAUAUAAAGAUCCUUAAGAAAUUUUCCUAAUUUCUUUUUCUAGCAAGGCCAUGCUUGCCAGAGUUAUACCUUUGACAUUAAUGCUAUAACACUAAUUGAUGUAGACAGGGACAACAUUCCAUUACAAGUAUUUGAACUAACAUGGUCUAAUUAUUCAAGUAUGAAGAGCUAAAGAAGGAUUUGCUAUACAUUUAGGUAAUGCCUGCCUUUCAUUUAACCCUAAAUUAGAAAAGACAAAAUCAAAGUUGUAGGAAAAAAAUUGAUCCAAGUUACAACAGUUUGUUUUUUUUUUUUAAUGUAGGUUUUUUUCCCCUACUGAACUGUAUUUCCUGAUGGCAUGUGGCCUGAAGCCAGCCUGUUGACUGAAAAAGAUAUUAUCUUUUCCUCCCCAGUGAAAACAAAAGCACAGAAUUUAUUUUGACAGCAUUAUGUAUUCAGUCAAGUUUCAUUAAGCUUCCAGUAAAUCAAAUACCUAUUAUAUAAUUCACACAUCAACUCUUUCCAUCUGAAGAGACUCCGCAGGUGGAUCAAAGACCAGAUUCACUGCCUGAAUAUUAAGGCCACUUAAAUUUGUGCAGCAGCAGCUUUGUAACAGAACAAUACUGCACAACCACCUCUGUCUUCACUCCCACUCACACAGUUCAGACAAGGACAUAGACAGUGCCAAAUCCUGAUUAGACAAUCCAGAAAUCUGUUCCAAAUCCUCAUGUACCCAGGGAACAAGACAAAAGAGCUCAACUCACCCUUCCUUGACCAAGGAUUGCUGUUCUGCCCCUCGGUUCUCUCACGAAGAAUACUUGAAUGUUCAACAAACUUGCUGCGGGAUGAACUGACUACUCUGUAGGCCUGAAAGGGAAUUGUACCUGAAUUUACAGCUACAUCCCUACAAAUUUACCAAACAAAUGAGGGGAGAGGGAGAGAAGGAAUUUUAAGCAAGUGCUUCUGCCCAUCUUAAAAUGCAUAUAAAAUUUAUCCUAAGCAAGGUUAAAAAAAUUAACAAUCUGCUAUACUAAUAUAUUUAUGUAUUUCAUAUAUCUCCAUUGUUAGAAAGCAAAUACAAUAUACCAUGCAACUUUUGAAGUGCUGCAGUGUUUCAGGAAUUGAAACCAGUUUUUUAAAAUAUAAUUAUGUUAAGGCUUCUAAUUUUGCAAUGUGGUAAAAAAUGCAAUCACACAUGUUUGAUAUGUUGAACUAAUAACUACUACCAUUCAAGAGGAUUACUCUGUGGGACAGGGAAAUAUGUACCUCUCUGGGGUGUGCUAGGCACUAUCUCAGAUCUUGGGGGAGAGGGCUAGAAGUAAGCUAUGGAAUGGAGGAUUUAGGGAUGUGAAGCAUCAGAUCCAUUUAGAAGCAGGGAAGAGAAUGAUUACUGUAAAGCUUAACAAAAGCAGAUGCUUACAAAACUUCAACAUGCUUUCUUGAAGUAACUAAUGCUGAUAUCUUCUUUUUUUUUACCCAAAUUAACAAGGUUCGUAUGUUCCCCUUGCAGCUUCAGAUUGCUUAUUUCACAUGUGCCUUCCCCACUUUGAAAUAUUACUAAUGUUUCUGGUUGACAAGACAAGUCAAGGGGUUAGAGACAGGUGCCUUACUCAGUCUUUGCACACAUUAAUUUCAUAUAGUUUUAAAUAUGCUUUCCACUAAGAGUGACCCAGCACUACUUAUCAAAAUAACAGUAAAAUAGGCAAGCAAGCAAGCUAAAUUCUCUUAAGCUGAUUUCUAAGUUAGGCUGCACUUAGCUAUAUGCUACAUGCUACAAUAUCUACGUUCUUUAAUGGUUUGCAUUUUGACCAUACUGUUUAAGAAAGAACACACCUUAUACCAUGCUGGCUCAGAAAGCACAAACAGCUCCAUCCCCAAACACUUACAUAAAAUAAACCACCAAAAGCAGCAACACCAGCAAGGAGAUAGAUCAUCAUGCUGUCUCUAGAAGAGCCAGGAACACUCCCAGAUGACAUCUGGCGAGGAGGUGCUAUAAAAACCAUUAGGUAAAUUGAUGUAAAGUGCUGCUAAAAUAUGAUCCAAAAAAGAAUUAUGGAAUCCGAACUCUGUGUGAGAAAGGAUUAUUCAAAAAGGUUAUAAAACAAAUGUUGAUGUAUACUGAUGUAUCCUAAGACUGAGCAACACAGGGUGUGGUGCUCCAUGGCUGAGCUCUUCCUAAGAGGUUUUUCUGUGAACU